rnacentral:sRNA from 1 species
AUGUAAGGUGCUAGAUGGACACAGCCUCUGACCAUGCAACACAAUCACACAGGCAGCAGAAGCACAAGUUUCCCCAAACUGCCCUACCAAUGUGUAUCCCAAUCGUGACCUGGAGAGAUCAUCUCUAGAAGUGAAAGGAUGAUUUAGCCAGCACGUCCACUCCAUGCUUAACCUCU